UGCCCAGCAACUCCUAUCCCUACCUCCUCGCGGUACUGGCCGGGGUACGAGUAACCUUGGGGAAGAUCGGGUAACCAACCCCCGGUGGGAACUUUGGUCGUAUGCUGACAGGGAAUG
rnacentral:ribozyme from 1 species